AUCAGGAGUAUUCGGGUUCCGGGGGGAGUAUGGUCGCAAGGCCGAAACUUAAAGGAAUUGACGGAAGGGCACCACCAGGAGUGGAAUCUGCGGCUUAAUUUGACAACGCGGGAAAACUCACCAGGUCAGGACACGGUAAGGAUUGACGGACUGAAGGCUCUUUCUCGAUUCCGUGGAAAGUGGUGCAUGGCCGUUUUUGGUUGGUGGAUCGAUCCGUCUGGUUAAUUCCGUUAACGAACGAGACCUCGGCACUCCGAAUAGCGCGGCGGACGUCGCGGCCUCCGGGCCGUCUUCCGCACGAGCUUCUUAGAGGGACCGUCCCCCGCCGGGGAAGGAGGUGCGAGGCAACGACAGGUCUGUGAUGCCCUUAGAUGUUCUGGGGCCGCACGCGCAUUACACUGACGCGUCCAACGGGUGACUCCCGACCCGAAGGGGCCGGGGAAUCCGCAAGGCGCGUCGUGAUGGGGAUUGAACGUUGCAAUUGUUGUUCACGAACGAGG
rnacentral:rRNA from 1 species